rnacentral:snRNA from 1 species
GCCUUCGGGCAUUUGGUCAAUUUUGAAACGAUACAGAGAAGAUGUAAGCAUCCACCUCCCGAGGUCGCUCGUUCGAAUCCGCAUACUAACAGUCUUUACAGUAGCAUGGCCCCUGCACUAAGGAUGACACGCUCAAUCAAAGAGAAGCUACAAAUUUUU